GUGAGAGGCCUCUGUCAGCAAUGGCUGCUGGGCUCUGGUUAUUGCUUUGGGCCCAAUUAACCACAAGGAGCCCUUUAUGGCAGAUCAGGACAGAAGUCCAAAAUCAAGAUGUCAGCAGGGCUCUGAGGGAGAAUCCUCCCUUGCCUUCUUCGCUAGCAAGCCUUGGCGUUCCUUGGCUGGGAGCCUCCAACCUCUGCUCUGCCUUCAUAUCACCUUCUCCUGUCUCCUGUUCCAGGGAUUUGGAUGUGGACAUACCUUUUGUGGGGA